CGGGCAGCCGCAGCAGCAGCAGCUCCAGGCGCCGCGCCAGGUAGCGCCUUCGCCGCCGGAGCUUGCGCGCCCCUUCGGGAGCUCAGCCGGCAGCAGGACCAUAGCCUCAGAAUACCCACCCUUUUUUGCCCACAAUUCAGAAGAGGAGGGGUUGACAAUCAACACAGUCUGCUACUUCAUACAUACUUUCAAUCUACAUGGAAUUUUACUCUUGCCAUGCCUCACACACUUAUUUCCUGCUGUGAAGAUACAAGAUGUGGAUUCACUGAUGCAAUGAUGCCAAAUUCUGACUAGCAAAAACAGGAAGGUGGCAGUCUAUGCCACACAACACACAAGCGAUUCUUCAGUACAUAAGAGGUCAUUAACAGCCAGCUGUGCGGUUCUUCUCAGUUUGAUUGGUAUGCAUCAUCAAUACAAAAAUAAAUCACCAUCAACAACAUGCUGUUAUGUAAAGAUCUCAGAGAGCUGCCUGAAGAAUGGAUAAGUUCUGUCAUGCCCACAAAUUAGGACAGCAAAACAAACAAGGCCAGUCUGUUUCCUCGUGGAAUUUCCAUUAAGAUGAGUAUUGUCUCUAAAUAGCCAAAUCCUAAAACUUGAUGUGCCAGCAUAUGUCCAUAAAAUAACAACAAAUACUUUAGUAGCAUGCAGUAAACCAUGAAUGUGCAACAAACCAGAGCAGGAGCACAAUAUUUUAAUACUACAAGUAAUGCAAGGUUACUAGUUUACACAAAUGUUGUCAAUGAUUUCUCUGUGAAGUACAACCUACAGUAUUGUUCUACAGACAAGAGAUGCUGAAACACUUCUACUUAAGUGAUAAAUGCUAAGCAAACAAUAUUAUUAAAUUUCUUA